CCUACGGGAGGCAGCAGUGGGGGAUAUUGCACAAUGGGGGGAACCCUGAUGCAGCGACGCCGCGUGAGGGAUGAAGGUCUUCGGAUCGUAAAACUCUGUCAGCAGGGAAGAACGGUCACUGUGCUAAUCAGCAGUGAAUUGACGGUACCUGCAAAGGAAGAACCGGCUAACUCCGUGCCAGCAGCCGCGGUAAUACGGAGGGUGCGAGCGUUAAUCGGAAUUACUGGGCGUAAAGCGCUCGUAGGCGGUAUGUCAAGUCAAGGGUGAAAUCCCCGCGCUCAACGUGGGAACUGCCUUUGAAACUGGCAAACUGGAGUGUGUUAGAGGAUAGUGGAAUUCCAGGUGUAGGAGUGAAAUCCGUAGAUAUCUGGAGGAACAUCAGUGGCGAAGGCGACUAUCUGGCACAUAACUGACGCUGAGGAGCGAAAGCGUGGGUAGCAAACAGGAUUAGAUACCCCAGUAGUC
rnacentral:rRNA from 1 species